rnacentral:tRNA from 1 species
GGUCUGGUAGUUCAGUUGGUUAGAAUGCCUGCCUGUCACGCAGGAGGCGCGGGUUCGAGUCCCGUCCAGACCG